rnacentral:rRNA from 1 species
GACGAACCGUGCGAACGUUAUUCGGAAUCACUGGGCUUAAAGCGCGUGUAGGCGGGCCGGCACGUCGGUCGCUGAAAUCCCCCGGCUCAACCGGGGAAGGGGCGCCGAUACGACCGGCCUGGAGGGGCGUAGGGGGAUCGGGAACUUCCGGUGGAGCGGUGAAAUGCGUUGAGAUCGGAAGGAACGCCCGUGGCGAAAGCGCGGUCCUGGACGCCAUCUGACGCUGAGACGCGAAAGCCAGGGAGCGAACGGG